UUUCCUUCCUCCUUUCUUUCUCCCCUCCUCGUUUCGGUAGAUCCUCAUGCCAGGCAGGGUUGUUGUCCCCAAAGGCCCCUUCAAAUCCUGGGAGUCUCAUGUCUGUUGCUUAUGCUGGGGAGGAUUUGAGGGCUGUGGAUCACCCACAGCCUCACACGGCUGUCACAGACCUUCCUCAGGCUGAGCUGUGAUCGAGGGUGGGAUUUGGGCACCUCUAGAAACAUCUUCUCCUAGCUGUUAAAUAAUCCUGUUCUUCUGUCAAACAGGGUUUGCCAGGUAAAAAUCCCUGCAGUCAUCCUCCAGAUUGUUUGGUCAAGCUGCCUCUGUCCACACAUCCUUCAGGACCCUGGACCUUUCGACUUCUGAAACUUCUCAGCAGAACGUGGAUGUCGAGCGUGGGGGCUGAUGCGGAGGAGGCUGCAUGGCAGUGAAGUGGGACUUGUGAAGAAUCUCUCUGCUGUCUCAGUGCAAUCACACCUGUGUGACGCCUGUGCAUCUGCUGUGGGUGGUGGUGGUGGUGCUGGCUGAGUUGAGCCACGACGGUGUUGCCUGCUGUUUUGUGCCACAGGGAGGAAGCAGAGUGUAAGGAUCAGGUUUUGUAAUGCUGCUGCGUGUAUUUGUUUUAGCUCAUUUUUUUUAUAGGUUUUUUGGCAGCCUCUGUUGUGUUCACACAGUGUUUUAUUAGCGUGAGGGUCAACCUUUCACUAUUGGAAUUUGUAAUUCCAGGGGGAUUUAUUUUUGUCUUAAUUUGAAGGAGCACAGAAGGGAAGAACUGCUGCUUUCUACGGUCACCUAGAUUUAAGCGAAAAUGGCGCAACAUCCAUCGGAUCUGGCUUUCUGCUGCUUUUCCCCUUCAGCCUCUGUGGGCGUUUUUCCAGCAGGAUGUUAGAGUGAGGAGGGCAGAGCUGCAGGGCCAGCCACAGCUGUCUCACGGUUUGUUUGCGGCGCGGGGAGGAGGCGCCGGCGCCAUGGGUGCGGCGGAGCCGGCGGGCUCCUCGGGCAAGCACUACCUGUGCGGGCUGUGCGCGGCCUUCACCAACAUCGUGGUGACGUUCCCCAUCCAGAAGGUUCUGUUCCGGCAGCAGCUGUACGGGCUGCGCACGGGGGACGCCGUGCGCCAGCUGCGCCGCGACGGGCUGCGCACGCUGUACCGCGGCAUCCUGCCCCCGCUCAUGCAGAAAACCACCACGCUGGCGCUCAUGUUCGGCCUCUACGAGGAUUUCUCGGCGCUGCUGCUGAGCCACGCCCGCGCCCCAGAGCUCCUGACGCGCAGCGCGGCCGCCGUGCUGGCCGGCACCACCGAGGCCGUGCUCACGCCCUUCGAGCGCGUCCAGACGCUGCUCCAGGACUACAAACACCACAACAAGUUCACAAACACUUACCAGGCUUUCAAGGUGCUGAAAGCGUAUGGGGUGCGGGAGUAUUACCGGGGAUUGGUACCUAUUCUGCUCCGAAAUGGGCCCAGUAACGUGCUCUUCUUCGGCCUGCGGGGGCCCAUCAAGCAGUGUCUGCCUGAAGCCACCUCGCACAGCUCUCACCUGGUCAACGACUUCAUCUGCGGCGGGCUGCUGGGCGCCAUGCUGGGCUUCCUCUUCUUCCCUGUGAAUGUCGUAAAAACUCGCAUGCAAGCUCAGAUCGGUGGCGAAUUUCAGUCCUUUUCCAAAGUGUUAGUGAAGAUCUGGCUGGAACGUGACAGGAAACUGAUCCACCUCUUUAGAGGAGCCCACCUGAACUACCACCGCUCUGUGCUGUCCUGGGGGAUCAUCAAUGCAACCUACGAGUUCCUGCUGAAGCUGCUGUGACCCCGUCCUGCUGCUGGGGUGUCAGCACUCACAGUGUCCUCGGUCCCAGGGAGCAGUGCCUGUGCGCAGGUGAGUUUACCCAUAACAGAGCUAAUGUAAAGGAUGUAAAGGAUGUAAAGGAUGAGGUGUAAAAGAGAAAAGAAAAGAAGUCUGUAUCACUCCCAAAAUUCCGUUAUGCUCUGUGAUGGGAUGCACUCCACUGCCCAUGUUUAGAACAUGAGAAUCAAGGAGGGGCUGAAGAAAAACAAUUCCAUUGCUUGAUCAUCUUCCAAGUCUCGAUUUUGGAACUGCAUUUUCAGCUGUUUUCUGGUCCUCACUGUGUAAAGCUCAAAGGACAGAUCUAGAAGGGGAUGACUGAAGUGCAGAGCUCCAAGCUGCACCUCAGCCUGCCACAGCCACCGCAGGGUGUGGCCUGUGGUGACCAUGUCCUCCAGCCCUGGCACUGAACGUGUGACCUCAGCCCAGGCUGGUCUGUGUGUGUAUGUGUGUGUGUUUGUACGUGUGCCUUCCUGUGAAAAGGGACAAGUGGAAGGAAUGGGACAGCAAACUCACUAAAGCUUUAAAGUGUCCUUCCUCGUUAAAAAACAUGGAGCUCAUUCUGCUUUUUGUGAGGAUUUUUUUUUUUUUUAAUUGCUUUUUUCUGUUGCCUCCUGCUCCAGGAUGAGGGAGGUGUCCCUGUGUGUAAAGCUCACAGGACACUCCAGCUCCUGCAGCUGCUCAAGCACUUCACACACGGCUUCUUGCACUGCCGCGUCUUGUCUUUUCUCAGUUCCCUCUGUGGAAUUACCGACCAUGAGAUGCUUUUACCCAAAACUCGGGGUUCUGCCUGCUUGGUGUGUACUGUUAACAGUUCUGCAAGACAGAGUGGCACAGGCAAGGUGAGAUUCCUGGGUUACCUGCUUCAGUGGAGGUCUGUAGGUAUAGUGGAGAUAAAAAGCCAAAGAUGACCUUGGAAGCAGGGAGGCAGGAAAGGUGGUGAGGUUAGAGAUGUGUUUCAGGACUUCUGUAGGCAAACAUUGAAAAGGACUGGCAGAAAUCUGUCUUACAGAGACAUGGGAGUUGAGAGAGAGAAGGGGCAGAUAGAUACAGGGGCAGAAGAGCAAGCACAACCCUGGGCUAGAUGAGGGUCACAACAAAAAGUGUUUCAAUGUCCUUGAGGGCUUCCUCUUUAAACAUUCAUAUAUGAACCAAAACACUUUGGAUGAUGGGGAGCAGCAAAGCUUUCAGAAACUGCUUUGAAUUUAAUCUUUUGUUAAGUAUUGAAGGGGCUAUUGCUUUUCUGAAAUUGGAGUUUUCCAUUUGCUAAAACUGUCUUCCAAAUUUGAUCCUAAUCAGUGUGUUGUAAUCAUACAGUCCUGAGCUUCACAGACAGCAAUGGGUGGGCACAAGCACGAGUUCCUGUAUCCCAGUGGUGAUUAUCUGCAUCUAAAUAAAAUGUUUACUGGAUGUUUGUUACUGGCAGAAUCUGAUUUUUACCAGUGUACCUUUUUUUUUUUAAUCACUCCUUGAUGGAAUAAAAAAAAAUCUGCAUCCUGUUUCUCUGUGGAAGAUGUUAUGUGCUCCUGUAAUGUCGGGGAAGCCCAAGUGUUGAGGGUAAGAGUUUGGCACAAGCCCAGAGCUGCUGAGUGCCCAACUACUCCAGUAAAAAUACAACAGUGGAGCCCUGGGUCUGAGGUUUAGUCAGUUUUGACUCUUCAUAUGUCACUUUCAGGAAAAAGCACUACUGUGACACACACACUUGAGAAUGGCAGCAUCUAAGCACUAGGUGUUUUUCCUCUUAAUUUUAGGGAGCAGGUAAGAGCCAGUCAGCAUGGCUCAUUUUAACAUAAAUACAAUACAUUUCAAUUCAGUGAAUUAUUAAAUGUUUAUUAUGCAAGCAAGAGAAACUGUCCACAAACAGUAAGUUACUGUACGGCUGUAAGUACAAUACUUCCAAAGCAGUUCUGAUACUUCAUAUACGGUAUUAAAAGGCUACAGUUUUUACUAUGAAAUCUCAGGUAUUUCAAAAUACUCUACAUGCACAAUUUGUUUCUGUAUUAAAAACCUUAUACUUAACUGAGGAUAUUUAGUGCUUUACAAAAUGCACCUUUAAUUAAGAUCAGCCAAUGAGAAGUUUCUGUUUCCUGCAGGUCAAAAACAUGAUGGGUCGUUGAUUUCUUCCCUUCUCUCCAAUUUUUUAGAAUCUUGUAAACUAAAUUUUCUAAAAGCAUUCAUUUGGCAAGUGUAUUUUUUUUUUUUCUAAGAGUUUAUAUGUCCUAGAGCAACAGACCCAA